UACAGAGGUCCCAAGCGUUGUUCGGAUUCACUGGGCGUAAAGAGCGUGUAGGCGGCCUGAAAGGUCAGCUGUGAAAACUCGAGGCUCAACCUCGAGACGUCGGUUGAAACCAUCUGGCUAGAGUCCGGAAGAGGAGUGUGGAAUUCCCGGUGUAGCGGUGAAAUGCGCAGAUAUCGGGAAGAACACCCGUGGCGAAGGCGGCACUCUGGGACGGUACUGACGCUGAGACGCGAAAGCGUGGGGAGCGAACAGG
rnacentral:rRNA from 1 species